rnacentral:rRNA from 1 species
GAUGAACGCUGGCGGCGUGCCUAAUACAUGCAAGUCGAGCGAAUGGAUUGAGAGCUUGCUCUUAUGAAGUUAGCGGCGGACGGGUGAGUAACACGUGGGUAACCUGCCCAUAAGACUGGGAUAACUCCGGGAAACCGGGGCUGAUACCGGAUACAACUUCGAACCGCAUGGUUCGAAACUGAAAGGCUGCUUAGGCUGUCACUUGAGGAUGGACCCGCGUCGCAUUAGCUAGUUGGUGAGGGAACGGCUCACCAAGGCAACGAUGCGUAGCCGACCUGAGAGGGUGAUCGGCCACACUGGGACUGAGACACGGCCCAGACUCCUACGGGAGGCAGCAGUAGGGAAUCUUCCGCAAUGGACGAAAGUCUGACGGAGCAACGCCGCGUGAGUGAUGAAGGCUUUCGGGUCGUAAAACUCUGUUGUUAGGGAAGAACAAGUGCUAGUUGAAUAAGCUGGCACCUUGACGGUACCUAACCAGAAAGCCACGGCUAACUACGUGCCAGCCGCCGCAGUAA